AUGAACGUGCUCCGACUCGAGUCUCGCGUUGCCGCUGUGGUCGACUAUAUUGCAAGGCUGAAGGUUGCAACGUCGCGCAUCGACACGGUACUCUGGCCAAGAGAAACACUUCAGAACAACCUCGAGUCUCUGAUGACUCGGCUGAAUGAAGUUCCAAGUCGAGUGCAAGAAUGGAAGAAGUCUUCUGCCAGGUGCGGUGCUGACGUUGCUCUAUCUCUGGUCCAUGUUCACUGCAAGGAUGCGCGAGAGGACAAACUGGCAGCUCUCAAGGUGGCCAAUACCAAGAAGCAUGACUUCCGAUCCUUCAUGGAGACCUUCAUCGCUGCUGCCACUCGGAUCGCUGAUGGAAUUGACCUGGACGAGUUCGUUGCGCCUUCCAGCCCUCCAUAG
rnacentral:rRNA from 1 species